rnacentral:lncRNA from 1 species
CCCUUUACUACGUGUGAUAAAGGGGCAAACACAACAUAUUCAUCUACUUAUGUGUUCAAUACCACACAAAAAUAAUAUUGUUUGACCUUAAUACACUAUAAAUUGAUCAAAUCAUAUUCUAUUUCGUAAGACAUAGAAAAAAUAUGGUUAGAACUCUCAAGUUUGUUUAUGUUAUAAUUUUAAUUCUUUCCCUAUUUCUUGUUGCCAAGGGGGGUGGCAGUAAGCAUUUUUUUUAAAACCAUUUUCAAAUUUCCUUCUUUAAUAUUUACUUCACACAUAAUGUUUUAUAUCAUUUUAUUAACAUUAUUUUAUUCUCUUCUUUCAUUGUAGAAAAAAUUUAUUGUGAAAAUGCGGCUAGUUGUCCACGCCUUAUGUAUCCUUUAGUUUAUAAGUGCCUUGACAACAAAUGUGUAAAGUUUAUGAUGAAGUCACGUUUUGUUUGAUAUAAGUAUAUCGCGCCCAAGACGGUACACAAACGCCAUGCAAGGAGGAGUGAGUCCUUGCACUAGCAAAAAAAUCUAUGCAACAUACCUUAUUGUUGUACCGCGUGUUGCCAUUUAAUUUUUUUUACUAGCAUCCAAUAAUUGUAUCUUUUAUAUUUUUCGUUUUAUAACUUCAUGGAUGUUAAAAGUAUGACUCUACAUUCAGAGAUGUUGAUAAUAAAAUGAAAUUAGGCACUAAAUAAUAUUAUAAUUGAAUUGUGUCGUAUCUCUUAUUGACGCAGUACGAAAGCGUAGGCUAGCAAGCGCUAAACCUAAAUUGAAAGAGACAAGUUUGCAACCGACAAACUUGUGAAAAUAGGGUUCCGGAAUCCACCAGAAAUUGAGAAAAACUCACUAAAAUAUUAUUGAUUGAAUAAAAGUUAUAAGUUGUCCUCUUAUGCUACAACCGUUAAACUUAAAUACGGAAAUAACAAACUCUAAUGGGCCUAAAAAUAACAAACUGAAAACAAAAUAGAAAGUUCUAGAAAAUUAGGCUGAAAUAAUAAAUACUACUAAAUUACUAAUAAAACCUUUGUGUAUCAGCUUCCUCCACUUUUAAAGAACUCGACCCCGAGUUCUCAUUCUGAUAAAAAAAACUUCUCAUGCAUGUUGACUUCUCCAAUGAACAAGUCGGUUGUUUUUAUGCCCUUUCUAAAAGAAGUCUUCAUGGUGGCAUCCAAACUCUUGCAAAAAAGAAUAACUUCCCUUGGUUGUAUUGCUGAGAACCUCUUUGUUUGGCAAUUUGAUUCUCCAAUCAAGACCUUUAUGGACACUUGCAAUUGUUCCAAUUUUGUAGUACCCAAACUCAAUUGACUGCCUUCCUUAGUAUUAGAAACAAAAUUGAAUUCUUUUCUCCCUGCCCUGUCAACAAAACAGAACUGCAUUCAUCAUGAAAUAGGUCGCUCAAGUAGCCCCAAGUAUGAGCAUGAUGUAGUUCAGGUGCCAACACUUGGACAUGCUGCAGAAUAUUUUUAAAUCCACUCAUAGAGUCAAUACUACCAUUCCAUGAAUAAGCAAAUAAAUCUUCAAAUGGUGUGGGAAGAUCAUCUAUAGGCUUUGGCUGUUUGAGAAUUUUAUUUUUCCACAAAAUCAAUAUUUAUCCCUCUGCAAGACAUUCCAUAUAAAGCUUUGAGGAUCCCCAUGAGUUAUGACAUUGCUUGGACACACAUUGCAGUCCAAUAUAUGGUGCCUGCAACCUUGUACCCCUUUCUUUAACCAACAUCAGUAAUGUGAUAGCCUCCAUUUUGCAACUAAAUUUUUUAGCCAAGUUAAAAUCUAAAAUAUUGUGAAUGUCACCACAGUCAACUAACUCAUUCCCAUAUAGUGCUUUUACAAUCUCAGUUACUGAAACUUCUUCCUCAUAAUCAACAAAAAUACAACUAAGAUUAAAACAGUUGGUGUCAAGAGAGUAAACCACAUAAAUCCUAACCAAAAUUCUGCCUUUGAUAACUGCAUAACUUUCCCGUGCAUCGUUUUUCCUCAAGUCAAAUUCAGUGAUGUAUGCAUUUCGAUGACAGUAUGGAGAGUUCACCAGAAAAAUCAACUGACUCGUUUUGAUUAAUGAAAUGUAGAAUCUGCAAUUAUUUUUUUGUUGGUUAUAUCCUUUUCUUGCCAAACAUUGUUGUUUUUUUUGGUGCGCUACAUUGAAUCAAACCCUAAAUUUUGAAACAUACAUAUCGUUGAAACUCAAACCCUUAUUUUGGAAUUCACAUAGCUAGCCUCUGUUUGUGGUCUUCGUAAACCAUUCACUU